UAUUUCUCCUAAGCCACAAUCCCGAAAUCUCUUAUUAAUUUUAUCCCCAAAUUUUACCCGUUAGACUGUCUAAAAUUUCCCCCUAAAAUUUCCCCCUAAAAUCGGUAUCCUCAAAACAUAUUGAAUUUUUCCCCCAAAUCGAAAUCCCCAGAUCAAAAUCCUUCCACCAUUUCUGUGUUGCCAUACUGAUCCCUAAUCCUCAGCAUCUCUCUCACUGCAGUUCUUUCUUCUUUAAAUCUCCAUCUCUAAAUCUCCUUCUCUAAAUCUCCAUCCCUUUGAUUUUCACUGAAAUCUAAAAAUAUAAAUUGAAGAGUAAAAUUCUUGAGCUUUCCCUCGCAUCAGUGAUUCACAUGAGAGCUAUGGCGAGUGAGCAAGGCAUGAGUAGUUGGACCGAUCUUCUCCACUCAUCCACCAAGCUUCUUGAGCAAGCUGCUCCUUCUGCUCAGUUUCCUCCUCUUCAGAGAAACUUAGAUCAGUUAGAAGCACUAUCAAAGAAACUCAAGGCAAAAACCUUAAGAACUGAGGCUCCUUCUCAAUCCAUUGCUGCCACAAGAUUAUUUAUUUACCAUGCGGAAUAUAUAAAAAUGGUCGCUGUUAUGUUUUAAGGCUACUUGCAUGGGACGGAAUUAACGCUGAACAGCUUACACGCGAUCUGAAGUCUUUUGAGUUGAAGAUAAGUAUUAUUUUCCACAUUUUCAUUUAUGUUAGCUCAGCUUUUGUGGCUUCUAGCUCAAGAACCCCCUAAACCUACCAUAAAAUUUGUUACUUGUUUUUCUUUGGCAUAUAAGGCUAUUUAAUAGAUAUUUUGAGGGGAAUGGAUAUUGAUAACGAUAUGUCAAGAUAAGGACAUUUUCCCCCUUCCCCCAAACUUUAUCUGCUAUGAUUAAAUGAUAUUUGAUUUCAGCUUUUGUAUUUUUACUGUUUAAAUGCUACUUUUGUCCUAAAACGCAUGCGUAUGGUCAACUUUAGAGAGCUUUGCUAUUGAUUGCUUCACAAUCUUGCUUCAAGGUCCCCCUCCCCCUUUUCAUAGUUUUCUCUUUACUGCAAUCUCACAAACCAUGUUUUCCUCUCCUUGAUCAUCUUUCUGCAAGACAACAUUUGAGGAUAUUUUCCCUGCUGAAGCAACAAGCAUUGAGGAGUAUCUGCAGCAGGAAGAUUGGCAAAAGGAAAAACGGGUCUUCUUACAGAGUUUGAGCAGAAUUUCAACAUUACCUAAGACAAACAUGAUUGAUAAAAGCAGUGGUGGUAUUCGUUCAGGUCAAAUGGUUCCCAUGGCUUCUAGUUCUUAUGUUUCUUCUGGUCCUUCUGCCAGUGGGCUUCUACCUUUAGCUGACAAGCCAGUUGUUGAGAAAAAAGUGUCGGUAUAUGCGGAAGUUGUUAGAAAUCUGAACAAUGCAAGACAACAAGGCUUGCCAUUUAAAGCCUGUGCCAUCAGCGCUUGUGGUAAUUUUGCGGUUCUAGGGACAGCAGGGGUUGGAUUGAGAGAUUCAAUCUCCAAUCUGGAAUAAGUCAAGGUGGUUAUGUGGACGACAUUCCCUUUGAUUCUUUGGCAUUUUCUUCCAUUUUUGUUACUUUGAAUUUGGUAUGAGCUUUUUGUUUUUCUUUCUUUCCAUCAAUGUAAAUGUGCUUAAAAUUUAUCUAAAAAUUCUCAUCGACAUAAAUUUUCAUAAAUUGUAUUAUCUCUCUGUUGCUGGUAGAUUGCCCAUUUAUUUAAACAUAAUAUUUAAAUUUUAAA